AUGUCGACUACUUCUACAUGUGUGUUUUGCGGUGCCAGAGAUUCAUGGAGACAUGCUUUGCUUGAGUGCGCGAUGGCAAGCAGCGUGUGGGCGAUAUCUGACGAUUCUCUUGUUAAACAGAUGAGCCAGCAUGAUGGUGAGGAUGCAAGGGAAUGGAUUUUUGCUCUGAAGAAUACUCUCUCGCAUGAACAUUUUGUACGUAUGACGGUUACCUUGUGGGCAGUGUGGGCAGCUAGAAGGAAAGCUAUAUAUGAGGAUAUAUUCCAGAGUCCGCAUGCAACACACACAUUCAUUAACUCGUUCCUGAGCGAUCUUCAAGUGAUCAAGAACGUGUCUAAUACUGUUGUGCAGGCCAGAACGGUGCGACCAACUCAUUGGUUACAGCCGCCGUGGGGUACAUCUAAAAUUAAUGUAGAUGCAGCCUGCAUGGAGAGUUCAAGUGUUGGUGCGGUUGCAGCGGUGUGCAGAAGCAGGGAGGGUAUUUUUCUCGGUGCGUCCACUGUCGUGUUCAAGGGCAUCUCUGACCCUACGACACUGGAAGCAAUGGGAGUCAGGGAAUCGAUGGCACUAGCAAAGGAUCUCCAGUUACAAGCGAUUCAUGUGGCGACGGAUUGCAUGGAAGUGGUGAACGAUAUCAAGCAGAAGAGUAACCCGGUCUAUGGGGCCAUAAUACAUGAGAUCAUAGAGUACUCUAGUACCUUUAAUUCUUGCACUUUUGUUCAUGAGUUUAGGAGCUCGAAUGUCGAGGCUCACAAUCUAGCGAAGCAUGCUUUGGGACUGGGGUUUGGUCACCAUGUCUGGUUAGGCCACCCCGGUGAUCUUACUUUCGUCCCUGUAAACAUUGUGACGGUCUAA
rnacentral:rRNA from 1 species